AUUGAACGCUGGCGGCAGGCCUAACACAUGCAAGUCGAACGAGUGGCGGACGGGUGAGUAAUGUCUGGGAAACUGCCCGAUGGAGGGGGAUAACUACUGGAAACGGUAGCUAAUACCGCAUACCAUCGGAUGUGCCCAGAUGGGAUUAGCUAGUAGGUGGGGAAACGGCUCACCUAGGCGACGAUCCCUAGCUGGUCUGAGAGGAUGACCCGCCACCAUGGAACGGAGGCACUGUCCAGGCUCCUUCCGGAGGGAGUCGGGGGGAAGUUUGGCCAAAUGGGGCCAGCCCUGUGCAACCCUGCCGCGGUGAGGAAGAAGGCCUUCGGGUUUGAAAGUACUUUCAGCGAGGAGGCGUUACUCGCAGAAGAAGCACCGGCUAACUCCGUGCCAGCAGCCGCGGUAAUAC
rnacentral:rRNA from 1 species